GACGAACGCUGGCGGCGUGCUUAACACAUGCAAGUCGAACGAAGUGGCGAACGGGUGAGUAACGCGUAAUCAACCUGCCCUUCAGAGGGGGACAACAGUUGGAAACGACUGCUAAUACCGCAUACUGAAGGAGGGGAGUGCGUCUGAUUGGCUAGUUGGGGGGGUAACGGCCCACCAAGGCGAUGAUCAGUAGCCGGUCUGAGAGGAUGAACGGCCACAUUGGGACUGGGGAACGGCCCAGACUCCGACGGGAGGCAGCAGUGGGGAAUUUUCCGCCAUGGACGGAAGUCUGACGGAGCAACGCCGCGUGAUUGAUGACGGCCUUCGGGUUGUAAAGCUCUUUUAAUCGGGACGCGGUACCGGAAUAUAAAGCCACGGCUAACUACGUGCCAGCAGCCGCGGUAAUAC
rnacentral:rRNA from 1 species